UCACCUGAACAAAGUUUUGUUUCCGGUUGUUGUUCAUUGUUCACUCUCUGCUUCACCUUUAUAGGCUGACAGUUUUUCAUGAAAAAGUGAUGUAAAUAUUUUCCCAACUUCAUCAGUGGUUAAGCAAGAAAAAAACAUUUUCUGUGAAAUUUUUGAUGAAUUUCAUAAUACCGAACGCUGUCAAUUGAAGAUUUUCAAACACGAGGAAACAAGUUUAUUUUUUUUGACUGAAAUCGGACAUCACAGAGACAACAAAUGAACAAUGCAUUUAGCUUGUAUUUUCUCAACGCGAGUCCUUAUUUCCAAAAAUAUAUCUAACUGAUUGACUUAAAAUGUAAUGUUUUUUAUGAAAAAAAUGCUUAGUUUUUUGCUAGGUUAUUAUCGUGUUUCACAGCGUAUUUUGGUAAAAGUUAACGUGUCACGAAAUCGGGGCCUAGGUAAUAUGCAAGGUUUCUCGGUAGUCACAGUCUUAUGUCUUUCCUUUGCAUUUGGCCUAUUUUAGUUUACCAAGUCGAAUUAAAAGUCCUUCAUGUUACCAAAACAGAAAAAAAUGUCAAACUCACACGACCAGUUUUAAUUCUACAUGCCAAAUUUUGCGCAAACCCCGCCAUAAUCCAACCUGUAAACAAUGUCCUCCACUCGUUUUGUGAGUACCAAGAUGGCGGCCAACUGGCUUCAACCGAUUGACAUACCGCUCGACGUUUAUGUUUUUUUUUUUUUUUUUAGGUCAGUGGUCAAAGUACAGGAAUCCUUUUGCUACGCAGACGGUACAUUUUUGACGUAGAUUAGCGCGACGUAAUCUUAAAUAGACGUUGUAUCUGAAUGACGUCAUUUCGUUAUCAUGGAAAUACGGGAGGCGAGUUUUCUUUUCCUAAAACGACCAGGGGAAAACCGCGUGCGUAACACCUGCUUACACGGUGAAACAAGGGGAAGAGGUACAAAUUGUUGGUAGUAUUUCGCGCCAUUAGUACACGGAGUCAUUAUUCACAGCAACAUCACGCCGCGGUGUUUACACUGCAAGCAGCCAGAAAGUGGGAACACCAAUUGUCAACCUUUGGAGAAACUGCUACCUGAGGGCUAUGAACAUUUAGUCUGCACGUAUCAAAACAUUGCUGAAGGACAAUUUAGGGCCCAAAUUAAAUUAAGAAAUACUACCGAAGAGGAGGUACACAAAUGGCUUGGAAGAUUUCCAAUCAUCCUCCCUGCUGACAUGGAGGAAGUCUAAAACAUGUAUUUCUCUGGCGUAUGUAAUCAUUUAGGGCAGUUAAACAUCCUUGGAAAUCACAGAUUCAUAAAGGCUCCCAUAUCAAAUAAGUACAUAGGUUACAACUAUUAUUGAUAUACUGUUAUUACAUACAACCAGGUUUCAGUAAUUUAGAUCCAAUAAAGAACUUGUAGAAAAAUGUUUUAAUAGAGACUUCACAAUUGUAUAUUGUAUAUUUAUAUGGCUGUGCACAGAUAAUAGUACCCUUCAUAUAAUUUACCUUGUUUGAUACAUUAUGGCUGUUGACUGAAAAAUACACAUGAGCUGUUCAACAGAAGGGUAAUGAAUAUUUCUUUACAUUUUUACAAAUUGCCAACCAUGCUACAGUAAAUAGUGGGGGGGAAUUACUUUUGAAUGCAUCAACCUUUUCUCAAUAAAUAUGUUUCCAAUGAUGCAUGACCUCGGGGAUCUCCAUAUAUUUGCAUAAAGGGGAGUCCUACAUUUUGGUCAGUGAGUCAGAAUGAUGUCAGAGCAGUGAUCUGACAGUCAUACCAAAACAGUUGGCGUGACACACACAGACGCACAACAUCUGCACAUUUUAAACAGCGACCUUCGGUCACAACGAAUGGUGCCGUUUUGUGGUGGAAACAUCAUGGCAUGCAGGCGUUUCUCAUCACAUGUCCCCAGUGCGCAGCCAGUUUGUUUAAAUGUACAUUAAUUGUAAUUCCCUUGUGUCUAAGGUGGACUCGAGAUGUCAUCACAACUGUGGUUCAAAUUCGAAAGCUGUUCCAAAAAAGACCAAAAACACAUCAUGUUGCGCCACGAUGUACUUGGUCCUGAAACGGGAAAUGCAAAGUAAAAACAGAUUGUCGAGGUGUCAGGAUCCUCAUAUCAAGGAUGGCUAGCUAUUUAAUAAUCUCAGACAUGAGCACAAUCACCGGCUGUUUUGCUCUGCUUCUAUGAAGAGGCGAGACGUCUCAUCGGAGACCAUCGACAAACUUAAAGUACUCUUUGAGAGUGGCCAUUCCCCUUCCACAGCACUGGAAACGAUCAAGCAUGACCUACAGGAUCAGGAAGGCGACUAUUCUCAGGGGGAGAGCAUAGACGAGGUCCCUUCAACUGGCAGAUCUAACACCUCAGGUACAUCAUCUGGAGGAGACCUGAAGGCAGGUUUGCGGCAGUUCUACAGAACAAUGACAAAAAAAAUGGAAGAUGACCCUGAAAACUUCAGAGCUCCAAUUCGUGCCUUUCUGGAAAUCAGCAGCAAAAUGAAUGAUAGCUCCAUCAUAUCCGCUCUGCAUUGUUUUGGUAAUAUGCCACAGGUCAAAGCCAGAUAUCUGCAGUCUUCAAAAAUGAUAGGCGUACAACCAACUGCCAUUGCCAGAAGAAAGGCAGCACUCGGUGGGAGACGAGCUUUGAUCCCUGGGCGACCCCCAAAAUCCUCAAGAAAGGCGCAUCAAUAUAGAAAAGGAGAAUCGCAAGAAAAGUGCACCUCAUUCCUUGGCCAAAAGUGUAGAUGACAACACAUGUCUUGGGGUCAUCACAAAUGUUCAUAAAGUUGCCUAAUAGCACAUGAUUACCUGAAAGAAGAGGUGGUCCCAACUUUUGAAGCAGCUCAGGUCCUGUUUGGAGGUCCUGUUUUGAAAACGAACGCUCAAAAUCCCUGGUGGUCGUGAUGACGAUGAUAAUGAAAUGAGAUCUACAGUAUUUAAACUAGCUCCACAUGCAGUGUGUAUAUUAUGUGGUGUGGUUGUAGGCUAUAUUCCAUUAACCUCAAAGACAUUACUCAUGCACUGUGCAUAUGUUGUAAGUAUGGCCAGUUAAUUUACAUGAUUGCAUGUUUACAUGUAUGUGGCCUAUGAGAUCUAGGAAAAUCUAAAAAUUAUUUGUGUUGGGACUUUUAUGAAACGGUUAAAAGUACAUUUCAGAGUUAUAAGGAAACAGUACAAUGAUUAAGUAGAAUUUGUUAUGGGCUGAUACAUUCAUGAUAUGAAAGACAGCAAAGGGUGCAUUAUUAGGUUUUGGGCUGUGAGUGAUUCUAGCCUAUUAUCCAGCGAUUUUUGUUCUCUAAAGUAAUUGCAGUAGCAGCAGUGUACCUUUCAUGACAGAAACAAAGUGCAUUUUGGGGUUUACACUGAUUAUAAUCAUUUUAAACGCAAUUAUGCACUUUGAUGUGUUUGCUGUCAUAAAAUGUGCUAUUCUACUGUUGCUACUACUAAUAAUCAUAAUAAAAUUUGCCAGAAAAUAUAUAUAUUUUCUCUACUGUUACACUCGCUACUAGUACUAUAAAAUAAGCCAGAAAUAUUUAUAUAUUUUCUGGCGAAUUUUAUUAUUAGUAUUAGUAAUAGUAGUAGCGGCAGUGGCGGUAUAGCACCUUGCAUUACAGCAAACAACUCAAAAGUGCAGCAGCAUUAAUGUGUUUAGGGCUGUGAUAAUCAUAUUAUCCAUUGGUUUGGAAUAGCGCGGAUAAUCGAUAUGAUUUUUACAGGGACCAAUCAAAUGGCUUGGGGGCGCGGUUUUCCUAUGAUCAUCCUAGGAAAAGAAAACUCGCAUACGGUAGUAGAUAGGAUAAAAAAUGAGAGGCAACCAUGUCCCGAGUACGUUUAGUACUCGCACUGGGUAGUAUCCGGGUAGAUAGUCUGUCGUUGAUGAAAUUCGGAUUGUUCGCCCCGAGAUGGCGCUGCUGCUGAUGCAAAAAAAAAAAAAAAAAUUGCAUACUUUUCUCUUUCAAUAGGUUAUUUUACAUUUAAUUUAAAAUUUUGAUUCAAGUGUGAAAUUCACGUUUAUAAAAACUUCCCAAAAAGUAAUACAGACUGUUUUUCUUGAGGCUUAGUGGAUUACCAUGUAGAAAUGGGCAAGAUUCAGCAGUCAUUACGAGUGAAUAAAUUGUUUUUAAAUAGAUUAAUAAUGAUGCAUUUCUCCACCCAUUUUUCAUUGUCGUGUGCCAAAAGCAGUGCACAUAUAAUGUGGGUUUCAGAAUUGGAGGACAUUUUCUUGUCUACUUGAUAUUAUUUUGUCCUGAUACAAAACGUAAAAGUCAUCUGAAUAUUAUUUGAAUACAAAAUAACAGUUGAGCACCUGCAAAAAUAACUUCUUUUCCUCUUGUUCCUUCAUCUUUAUGACCAAUCUAUACUAGUAUAUUAAAUUUAACAGGUUAAAUGUGUUUUAAAUCAGCAUUAUUUUAUCGAGUCUACCUUGGAAUUACUGGGGGGGGGGGGGACGUUUUAACAAAGACAUUUUAAAUUGCAGUAAUUAUGCUUUGUAGUUGUCUCUUAACGUACACAACCUUGUUUACAGAAUCGGUGGUCAUAAAAAGUGAGCGAUGUGACUCAGCAGAUAUGACAUCAUCAGGCUAAUUGUUCUGACCAUGAGUCCAUCUAAUUAAUGUAAAUCCUCAUUCAUAUUUCUGUUUUUGUUUUGUGACACUCAUGAUUAGAAAAGACAUCGAUAGUAAAGCUUCUCUUUGGCAUAGCAACUAACAGCUUGCAUAUACUCCAGUGUUGAGGAAAAUACUGUAAUAAUUGCAUGAAUUUGCAAUAUAGUUUUAAAAUACAGUAGAACCCCCCCUAGUCACAGAUAACACAGCUCUGUCUCACAAGUAGCUCAUGCCAACAGUAAUUGGU